rnacentral:lncRNA from 1 species
AAAAAAUCCAUCCCAAUCCUAUCGAUUAUUCUUAACCCAUGAAGAGAAAAGUAUAACUCCUUGGAGAAGGCGAAAAGAGUACCUUGUAGACGGGCCCAAAGCCACCUUGGCCCAGCCGGUUCAUUUCGGAGAAGAAAUUGGUGGCAAUUUGCAGCUUCUGGAGACUGAAAAACAAGUCGCAAGAUUCUUCUGUGCCAUCGUCCGCGGCGUCGUCUCCGUUUGUGGCCCUCAGGCGCCGCCGCAAACAGCUGUACAUGUCGGAAAAUAGUCGCAUGGAGGCAUCAAACAGACUGACAGAAAUGAAUUCUCUAAUAUUGGGCUUUCUACUGAAAUUUUAGCCCAAUUACAUGAACAUUCACCGGUAUAUAUUCGCUAUUCUCUGGAUUUUACUGCAGCUUUGUACCAACAGGUGGGCUACUCCAAAUUGACAAAAAAAAAAAAGGGCAAAUUCAACUGGAAAAAGGCGUUGACAACGAAGUUGCUAUUCAAUUUACAAUUUGGGGCAGUUCCGGUCCAUCUUUUCUUUUAAUUUUCCUUGGUCAAAGUACCGUCCAAGGUGUCCGGCCGUAUAAAAUUAAAUGUGUUUGAAUUUGUUGGAGUGAAAUGAGAAUCAGAUAACGAAAAUUUCAACAGUUUUUUUCAAGGUGGUUGAGGGACGAUGAAGUGCUAGUCGUUGAUCAUGUUUA